AUUGAACGCUGGCGGCAUGCUUUACACAUGCAAGUCGAACGGCAGCGGGGAGGAGCUUGCUUCUCUGCCGGCGAGUGGCGAACGGGUGAGUCAUACAUCGGAACGUGUCGAGAAGAGGGGGAUAACCACCCGAAAGGGUGGCUAAUACCGCAUAAAUUCUGAGGAAGAAAGCUGGGGACCUGGGAAUAGGCCUAGCGCUUUUUGAGCGGCCGAUGUCGGAUUAGCUAGUUGGUGAGGUAAAGGCUCACCAAGGCGAAGAUCUGUAGCGGGUCUGAGAGGAUGAUCCGCCACACUGGGACUGAGACACGGCCCAGACUCCUACGGGAGGCAGCAGUGGGGAAUUUUGGACAAUGGGGGCAACCCUGAUCCAGCAAUGCCGCGUGUAUGAAGAAGGCCUUAGGGUUGUAAAGUACUUUUGUUAGGGAAGAAAAGUCAGCUGUGAAUAAUGGCUGAUACUGACGGUACCUAAAGAAUAAGCACCGGCUAACUACGUG
rnacentral:rRNA from 1 species